GACGAACGCUGGCGGCGUGCUUAACACAUGCAAGUCGAGCGAUGAAGCACCUUCGGGUGUGAAUUAGCGGCGAACGGGUGAGGAACACGUGAGAAAUCUGCCUUCAACUCUGGGAUAACUCCGUGAAAACGGGGCUAAUACCGGAUAUGAAACCUGCGGGCAUCCGCGGGUUUGGAAAGUUUUUCGGUUGAAGAUGAUCUCGCGGCCUAUCAGCUUGUUGGUGAGGUAAUGGCUCACCAAGGCGACGACGGGUAGCCGGCCUGAGAGGGCGACCGGCCACACUGGGACUGAGACACGGCCCAGACUCCUACGGGAGGCAGCAGUGGGGAAUAUUGGGCAAUGGAGGAAACUCUGACCCAGCGACGCCGCGUGCGGGAUGAAGGCCUUCGGGUUGUAAACCGCUUUCAGCAGGGAAGAAGCGAAAGUGACGGUACCUGCAGAAUAAGCACCGGCUAACUACGUGCCAGCCGCCGCAGUAA
rnacentral:rRNA from 1 species